GACAGAGGGUGCAAACGUUGUUCGGAAUUACUGGGCGUAAAGCGCGUGUAGGCGGCUAUGCAAGUCGGAUGUGAAAGCCCUCGGCUCAACCGGGGAAGUGCACCCGAAACUGCAAAGCUAGAGUCUCGGAGAGGAUCGUGGAAUUCCGAGUGUAGAGGUGAAAUUCGUAGAUAUUCGGAAGAACACCAGUGGCGAAGGCGACUCGCUGGACAAGUAUUGACGCUGAGGUGCGAAAGCGUGGGGAGCAAACAGG
rnacentral:rRNA from 1 species